rnacentral:rRNA from 1 species
CACGUAGGGCGCAAGCGUUGUCCGGAAUUAUUGGGCGUAAAGAGCUCGUAGGUGGUUUGUUACGUCUGCUGUGAAAACCUAGGGCUUAACCCUGGGCUUGCAGUGGAUACGGGCAGACUAGAGGUAGGUAGGGGAGAAUGGAAUUCCUGGUGUAGCGGUGAAAUGCGUAGAUAUCAGGAGGAACACCAGUGGCGAAGGCGGCUUUCUGGACGAUAACUGACGCUGAGACGCGAAAGCGUGGGGAGCAAACAGG